GAUCAGGUAGAAUUGCAAUUUAUCAUUUGUGAUAAACUUUAGAUGAUUGAGGCAUUAUCCAUAGUCAGAACCAGGCUUUGCUUGAUAUUAUCAAUUGCCAGCACUAGGUUAUAUGUUUGUUUGCAUGCAUGUGUAUGUGCUGAGGUGGGUGGUUUGGAUUCACUUUCACUUUGGACAUUUAUUUUGGAAAAUUUUCUUCAUUAUGAUCCGGGCAGUAUGAGACUGAAAUUUUGGUGGGUGUCAAAUCUACUUGCAGUUCUCUUUUUUCUUAUCAACGCAAGGCUACAAUUAAUGUGAAGUAGAUAAAAUGGCAACUAACCAUUAAAUUCAUUAAUAUGUUAUGAUGGCAGCUUG
rnacentral:misc_RNA from 1 species